rnacentral:rRNA from 1 species
UACGAAGGGGGCUAGCGUUGCUCGGAUUGACUGGGCGUAAAGGGUGCGUAGGCGGGUCUUUAAGUCAGGGGUGAAAUCCUGGAGCUCAACUCCAGAACUGCCUUUGAUACUGAAGAUCUUGAGUUCGGGAGAGGUGAGUGGAACUGCGAGUGUAGAGGUGAAAAUUCGUAGAUAUUCGCAAGAACACCAGUGGCGAAGGCGGCUCACUGGCCCGAUACUGACGCUGAGGCACGAAAGCGUGGGGAGCGAACAGG